rnacentral:rRNA from 1 species
UACGGAAGGGGCAAGCGUUGUUCGGAAUCAUUGGGCGUAAAGGGCGCAUAGGUGGUUCUGUAUGUCUAUCGUGAAAGCAUACAGCUCAACUGUAUUUUGUCGGUAGAAACUGCAGGACUUGAGGCUGGGAGGGGCUGGUGGAAUUCCCUGUGUAGCGGUGAAAUGCGUAGAGAUGGGGGAGAACACUCGUGGCGAAGGCGGCCAGCUAGACCAGUUCUGACACUGAGGCGCGACAGCGUGGGGAGCAAACAGG